GACGUAGGGCGCGAGCGUUGUCCGGAUUUAUUGGGCGUAAAGAGCUCGUAGGCGGCUUGUCGCGUCGUUCGUGAAAACCUGCAGCUCAACUGCAGGCUUGCGGUCGAUACGGGCAGGCUAGAGUUCGGUAGGGGAGACUGGAAUUCCUGGUGUAGCGGUGAAAUGCGUAGAUAUCGGGAGGAACACCAGUGGCGAAGGCGACUUCCUGGCCUGUUCUUGACGCUGAGGCGCGAAAGCUAGGGAAGCAAACGGG
rnacentral:rRNA from 1 species